CGUAGGGUGCGAGCGUUAAUCGGAAUUACUGGGCGUAAAGCGUGCGCAGGCGGUUUUGUAAGACAGAUGUGAAAUCCCCGGGCUCAACCUGGGACCUGCAUUUGUGACUGCAAGGCUAGAGUACGGUAGAGGGGGAUGGAAUUCCGCGUGUAGCAGUGAAAUGCGUAGAUAUGCGGAGGAACACCGAUGGCGAAGGCAAUCCCCCUGGACCUGUACUGACGCUCAUGCACGAAAGCGUGGGGAGCAAACAGGAUUAGAUACCCUGGUAGUCCACGCCCUAAACGAUGUCAACUGGUUGUUGGGUCUUUACUGACUCAGUAACGAAGCUAACGCGUGAAGUUGACCGCCUGGGGAGUACGGCCGCAAGGUUG
rnacentral:rRNA from 1 species